GACGAACGCUGGCGGCGUGCUUAACACAUGCCAGUCGAACGGAAAGGCCCUGCUUUUGUGGGGUGCUCGAGUGGCGAACGGGUGAGUAACGCGUGAGUAACCUGCCCUUGACUUUGGGAUAACUUCAGGAAACUGGGGCUAAUACCGGAUAGGAGCUCCUGCUGCAUGGUGGGGGUUGGAAAGUUUCGGCGGUUGGGGAUGGACUCGCGGCUUAUCAGCUUGUUGGUGGGGUAGUGGCUUACCAAGGCUUUGACGGGUAGCCGGCCUGAGAGGGUGACCGGCCACAUUGGGACUGAGAUACGGCCCAGACUCCUACGGGAGGCAGCAGUGGGGAAUAUUGCACAAUGGGCGGAAGCCUGAUGCAGCAACGCCGCGUGCGGGAUGACGGCCUUCGGGCUGUAAACCGCUUUCGCCUGUGACGAAGCGUGAGUGACGGUAAUGGGUAAAGAAGCACCGGCUAACUACGUG
rnacentral:rRNA from 1 species